GAUGAACGCUAGCGGCAGGCUUAAUACAUGCAAGUCGAGGGGCAGCACGAAUAGCAAUAUUUGGUGGCGACCGGCGCACGGGUGCGUAACACGUAUACAACCUACCUAUAACAGGGGGAUAGCCUUUCGAAAGAGAGAUUAAUACCCCGUAAUAAAUUGAAUGGCAUCAUUUGAUUUUGAAAGCUACGGCGGUUAUAGAUGGGUAUGCGUCUGAUUAGCUAGUUGGUGAGGUAAUGGCUCACCAAGGCGACGAUCAGUAGGGGAUCUGAGAGGACUAACCCCCACACUGGUACUGAGACACGGACCAGACUCCUACGGGAGGCAGCAGUAAGGAUAUUGGUCAAUGGAGGCAACUCUGAACCAGCCAUGCCGCGUGCAGGAUGACGGCCCUAUGGGUUGUAAACUGCUUUUGUACCAGAGAAAACCUAUCUACGUGUAGAUAGCUGAUAGUAUGGUAAGAAUAAGCAUCGGCUAACUUCGUGCCAG
rnacentral:rRNA from 1 species